UACAGAGGGCGCAAGCGUUGCUCGGAAUUAUUGGGCGUAAAGGGUAGGUAGGUGGUCUCAUUUGUCAGGGGUGAAAGCCUUGGGCUUAACCCAAGAAGUGCCCCUGAAACGGUGAGACUGGAGUCCUGGAGAGGGUCGUGGAAUUCCCGGUGUAGCGGUGAAAUGCGUAGAGAUCGGGAGGAACACCAGAGGCGAAGGCGGCGACCUGGACAGGUACUGACACUCAACUACGAAAGCGUGGGGAGCAAACAGG
rnacentral:rRNA from 1 species